AAGUGUGUAAUAAGAAGAAUUUACCCAGAAAGCGCGAAAUCUAACCAACUCUUUCUCUAAGCCACACCCAACCCAACCCCCAAAUCUCAUAACGUUAAAAUCUCUUUCUCUGUCUCUUUUUUCCAUCCUUCUGUCCUCUUAUUCCCUUUUCUUUAUUAUUAUUUUUUCUCUCUUUCUCUGCAGUCGCAGAAACACAGAACCUUCAUAUUCAUCCAAACGAUAACAAAUCUCUCCGACCCUCUCUCUCUCUCUCUGUGUUCCAGAACGAAACUGUUGGUGAAUCCAAUCAAUUAGAUUAUGAUGAAUGGAGGAAAUCAGAGUCAAUGUUCAAGCUCAACAUCCUUUAGCAGCAGCAGCCAGCAGGACACGGACAUGGAGGAUGACCGCAUGAUUGCUCUUAUUCUAACAGAAGAGUAUGCUAACUUAGAUGGCGCAGUUGCUAGACGCCUUUCUGAUCUCGCACCUGUUCCUCAUAUUCCGCGUAUAAAUUCAUUCAUCCCCAACUUAAGUGAUGCUAGUUUGGAUCAUCAACGGCUUAUUCAGAGGUUGAAUCUCUAUGGUUUGCGUGAAGUGAAGGUAUCUGGGGAUGGAAAUUGCCAGUUUCGUGCACUUUCGGACCAGAUGUACAAGUCACCUGAAUAUCACAAACAUGUACGAAAAGAGAUUGUCAAACAGCUCAAAGACUCGAGAUCUUUGUAUGAAGGAUAUGUUCCAAUGAAGUACAAACGCUAUUACAAAAGGAUGGCAAAAUCAGGUGAAUGGGGGGACCAUGUUACUCUACAAGCAGCAGCUGAUAAGUUUGCAGCAAAGAUAUGCCUUUUGACAUCAUUUAGAGAUACUUGUUUUAUUGAAAUCAUGCCACAAUACCGGGCCCCAAGAUGUGAAUUGUGGUUGAGUUUCUGGUCUGAGGUUCAUUACAAUUCAUUAUAUGAAAUCCAAGUUGCUCCAAUUCAACCAAAGCCAAGGAAGAAACACUGGUUGUUUUAGUGGGACCAGUAUAGAAAUUUUGGUCACUGAGGCUGUUGAAAAUUAUAGCACUGUGUAUAAGUUGCCUACAUGUAUCUCUCUCUCAUUCAUUAGAAGAAAUUUCGAGGACAAACGAGGAACAACGUCAGUAUAGAUUGUGACUUAUCGGCCUAGUUUGUUGACAUGUUGUCAUCCGGUUAGUAUCUCAUUCAAUUAUAUGGAUGAUGAAUAAAAUGCUUUAACAAGAUAUAUGGUUUUAUUAGAAAUUGAUGCAGUAGUAACUUCGCCAAGUGUACAACUCUAUAGAUUGGAUUUAAUUAUUGUAAAACGAAAGUGUUUCUGUAUUUCGCCAAAAGAAGGUAAAAUGUUUUUCUGUAUUUUAGAGGUCGAAUGUCCUCUAAUAUAUUUAUGAUGUUGCAAGAUCCAGUAACAUGGAACAAAAAGAAAUAAAAAAGUGUGGGCAUCUUUGUCGGGACUAGCAAUGCAUGUAUGGCGUUAACUCCAUGGCAUUAUAGGUGUUUUGCCUGUCCUGACUUCCUGACUACUAAAUGUUACCCUGCAAGUGCAAGUGCAACUGCAGAAAAUCAAUCUCAGUUCUAAAAUCUAAUCUAAGCAUUUAGAUCCUCCAUCUUUCAAUAAAAAAUUAGUUGUCGGAUAUUUGUUUUACCUUUUUUUUUUUUUUAAUAUAAUUUUCGGUUUUUAUAAGUUGUUAGAAUUUCAUAUUGAGGAAUAUUAGUAUCAAUAUUGUAAGUUGUUACAAGUAUUUUAUGUAUUGAGACUCAUAAGGUUAAAAAAUAAAUACUAUUGCUCUAUCAAUUGAUUAGUUAUUUAGAAUUUUUUCUACUGUGCUAAAAAUGGCUACUUAUGGUAGGACUUUAAACAUGAACUGUUCAAAUCACAAUUAGCUUUUUUUUUUUUUUCUUUUAUCUUUUUUCUAUGGCUAUAUGAAACCCAAAUGAUUAACGUGGUUAAAAAAAAAAAAAUUACGGUAAAUUCAAUGGAAACCAAAAGGAAUUGCUUUGAUUUUUUGCCACAAUAAAAAAAAAAUUUAAUUGAGAUCAUAAAUAUAUGUAUUAAUUACAAUCAUUCAUUGCAAAAUAACUUUAUUUGAAAGUUAAGGAAAAUCAAAAUUGAGAGAAAUCAAUAUUAACCAUACAAUUUGUGAACCGGUGCAUUCCACCAGAUAUUCAAAAGCAUAAGUAAAAUUUUUAAAAAAAAUCUAAGAUAGAACUAAGAAAUGGACAUGUUGAUAAAGUGGAAGAAGAGGGGUUAGUGAAUGAGAUUGAAAGAGGAAGAUUUAAGAAUAAUUUUUAUCCAUUAUAGUGUUUUCUUUCGGACAACUCGGAACGUGGGGUUAAUUGUGUUGUAAAUUCCACGAUUUAAUAAUAUACAUACGCGCUGGCCUUAUGAAUUAACAUGACUUUAGGGUUUACAUGACUCGUGAUGGUUAAAUGGUCCAUUUUAAUUUAACAAUUUAUACGGAAGAUUUUUAAUUGUGAGUGGGUUGCCUUCUUUCGUUUGGUAGUGCAGGAUUUCAAUCUCUUAAUUUCUUGUUAAGGCAACCCGAGUUAGUUAGGAGCUUGCUGUUUGAUAAAAUACCAAAAUGGUUAACCAGCUUCGCUAGAGAUUAACAAAGAAAAGAAUAAAUGGUUUGGAGGCUGCUUGAUGUUGAUGAUCAAUAUUUGAGACUGCUAUUGACAAGCCAGAGAAAAUGGUUCAGCUAGCGUAGUACGUUCUCAUCAUUACAAAUUGUAAUUAAUAAGAGCAAAAAAUAAAGAGAGAGAAAAACAAA